rnacentral:ncRNA from 2 species
AGUUGUAAAUAUCGCACUACUCGUAUAAUUCUGAUGAUGAGGAUCAGAAGUUUCUACCAGACGCCUUAAAUGUCUGACUACGAGUAAGUUAUAGAAGCUU